UACGGAGGGUGCAAACGUUGCUCGGAAUCAUUGGGCGUAAAGCGCACGUAGGCGGCUCGUUAAGUCGGAUGUGAAAGCCCUCGGCUCAACCGAGGAAGUGCAUACGAAACUGGCGAGCUUGAAUAUGGAAGAGGGUCGCGGAAUUCCCGGUGUAGCGGUGAAAUGCGUAGAUAUUGGGAGGAACACCAGUGGCGAAGGCGGCUCACUGGACCGGUUCUGACGCUGAGGCGCGAAAGCGUGGGGAGCAAACAGG
rnacentral:rRNA from 1 species